GUCUGGGGGGGAGAGUGGCGAACUGGUGAGUAACACGUGGGUGACCUGCCCCGAAGACGGGGAUAACCGUUGGAAACGACGGCUAAUACCCGAUAUACUCGGUGAUUCGGUUCAUCUGAGUAAAGGCUCCGGUGCUUCGGGAUGGGCCUGCGGCCUAUCAGCUAGUUGGUGGGGUAAUGGCCCACCAAGGCGAAGACGGGUAGGGGGCGUGAGAGCGCGGCCCCCCACACUGGCACUGAGAUACGGGCCAGACUUCUACGGAAGGCAGCAGUCGGGGAUAUUGCACAAUCGGCGAAAGCCGGAUGCAGCGACGCCGCGUGGGCCAUGAAGGCCUUCGGGUUGUAAAGCCCUUUUAUGGGGGAAGAGACAAGGACGGUACCCCAAGAAUAAGCGUCGGCUAACUACGUGCCAGCAGCCGCGGUAAAACGUAGGACGCAAGCGUUAUCCGGAUUCACUGGGCGUAACGAGCGUUGAGGCGGUUCCGUACGUUGGGCGUGAAAGCCCCGGGCUUAACCCGGGGAGGUCGUUCAAUACUGCGGGACUUGAGUGGCACCCGAGGGAGGCGGAAUUCCCGGUGUAACGGUGAACUGCGUAGAUAUCGGGAGGAACCACAGUGGCGAAGGCUGGCCUCCUGGUGCCGUUUCUGACGCUGAAGGCGAAAGCUAGGGGAGCGAACGGGAUUAGAAACCCCGGUAGUCCUAAGCAGUAAACGAUGGAUGCUGGCUGUGGGGGAUAUAGAUCCCCUCCGUGCCGAAGCUGACGCGCUAAGCAUCCCGCCUGGGGAUUACGGCCGCAAGGCUUAAACUCACAACAGAAUUGACUGGGGGCCCAGCACAAGCUAGCAGGAGCCGUGUGGUCUCAAUUCGAUGCUACACGAAGAACCUUACCUGGGCUUGACAUGCAGGUAGUAGUGAAGCGAAAGCGGAACGACCCUGUCGGGGAGCCUACACAGGUGCUGCAUGGCUGUCGUCAGUUCGCGCCGUGAGCUCUCGGGUUAAGUCCCGUAACAGAACGCAACCCUUGCCCUUAGUUACAUGUGUCUAAGGGGACUGCCCGGGACAACUGGGAGGAAGGUGGGGAUGACGUCAAG
rnacentral:rRNA from 1 species